rnacentral:rRNA from 1 species
UACGUAGGAGGCGAGCGUUGUCCGGGGUUACUGGGCGUAAAGGGUGCGUAGGUGGUCGUUUAAGUCCGUUGUGAAAUCCCUGGGCUCAACCUGGGAAUGGCAGUGGAUACUGGACGGCUAGAAUGCGGUAGAGGGUAGUGGAAUUCCCGGUGUAGCAGUGAAAUGCGUAGAGAUCGGGAGGAACACCAGUGGCGAAGGCGGCUACCUGGACCAGCAUUGACACUCAAGCACGAAAGCGUGGGGAGCAAACAGG